AUUUUCACCGUAACCGAACCGCCGGUCUCAAAUCCCGCCUCGGCCAACCAGUUGCCUUUAAGUUGCAAGCUGGGGCUUUGUGAAUAACGGGUGGGUACUAUGGUUUUACGGUCGGUGUAGCAGAUACCG
rnacentral:sRNA from 1 species